rnacentral:misc_RNA from 1 species
CCGAGUUUUCAACUCCCAAACCCCUGUGAACAUACCUUACCGUUGCUUCGGCGGCGCGCCCCCAGGGCGCCCGCCGGGGACCACCAAACUCUUGUUUUCCGAACUGGAUUCUGAGCAGCCGCAAGGCAAACAAAUACAUUAAAACUUUCAACAACGGAUCCCUUGGUUCUGGCAUCGAUGAAGAACGCAGCGAAAUGCGAUAAGUAAUGUGAAUUGCAGAAUUCCGUGAAUCAUCGAAUCUUUGAACGCACAUUGCGCCCGCCAGUAUUCUGGCGGGCAUGCCUGUUCGAGCGUCAUUUCAACCCUCGGAACCCCCGCGGCCCAGCGCCAACGGGGAGCCGGUGUUGGGGAUCGGGCCCCGCCCCCCGGGGCAAGCCCGUCCCUCAAAUACAGUGGCGGUCCCGCCGCGGCCUCCCCUGCGUAGUAGCACACCUCGCAGGCCGGAGAGCGGCGCGGUCCGGCCGUGAAACCCCCACCAUCUCAAGGUUGACCUCGAAUCAGGUAGGAAUACCCGCUGAACUUAAGCAUAUCAAUAAGCGGAGGAAUCGAUGCCUUGGUCAUUUAGAGGAAGUAAAAGUCGUAACAAGGUCUCCGUUGGUGAACCAGCGGAGGGAUCAUUACCGAGUUUACAACUCCCAAACCCCUGUGAACAUACCACUUGUUGCCUCGGCGGAUCAGCCCGCUCCCGGUAAAACGGGACGGCCCGCCAGGGGACCCCUAAACUCUGUUUCUAUAUGUAACUUCUGAGUAAAACCAUAAAUAAAUCA